AAGGGUUGGAAUCUGGAAGGAGCAUUGGUCAUUUAGCAGGCAUAAGGGAGAGACAAGAGAGAACAUACAGGGGAAAUCAAAUCAGCAUUUGUCUUCAAUUUCAUUUUAU